GUGCUCGCUUUGGCAGCACAUAUACUAAAACUGGAACAAUACAGAGAAGAUUAGCAUGGCCCCCACACAAGGAGGAUGCGCAAAUUUGUGAAGCAUUCCAUAUUUUU
ensembl:snRNA U6 U6 spliceosomal RNA